rnacentral:misc_RNA from 1 species
CGAUAUGGAGCAUAUGUAGGCUUAUCCUUUCCUUGAAUUACCGUUGAUAUUUGAGAUGCUAAUCUUCCUAGGACCUGGCCUUUUGCAUCAAAUACUCUCCAUCGCAAACCUUCCAGAUUGAUACGUCUGAGGCCAGCAAGUGCUUUCUUCAUGUUGCCAUUGAAAGAGGCAGCUGCUUGGGUUGCCAUGUCUCCUCUGCACAGUGAGUCUUCUUGUUUCUCACCCAAAUAUCAUUCACCUUAAGGAGCAGUAAGGUUUGCAAGUUUGCAGACAGG